rnacentral:rRNA from 1 species
UAGGGAAUUUUCGUCAAUGGGCGCAAGCCUGAACGAGCGAUGCCGCGUGAGUGAAGAAGGCCUUCGGUCGUAAGCUCUGUUGCGGGGGAAAAAAGGCAGCAUCAGGAAAUGGGUGCUGACUGAUGGUGCCCCGCCAGAAAGUCACGGCUAACUACGUGCC